UUUUUUUUUUUUUUUUUUUCUUGGGUAUGUGAUGGCUGCUUCAUUGCUCAAUGGAGCUGAGAAUCUCAAAUUCAGUAGUGGUAUAACACCAUCAAGGCUAGGCUAUGUAGGGUCAGAUUUCCAUAUUAGUUGCUUACCCAAGAAAAAUUUAUUAUUCUACAAUAGGAAUACCCAAAGCUCCAGAAUCUUAGCUCCUAGUUGCAGUAUGUCAUCAUCAAGGCCUGCUUCACUGCCUAGGUUCAUACAACACAAGAAAGAGGCAUUUUGGUUCUAUAGGUUCUUGUCUAUUGUGUAUGAUCAUGUCAUAAACCCUGGUCAUUGGACUGAGGAUAUGAGAGAUGAGGCACUUGAGCCAGCUGAUCUUAACAAUAGGGGUAUGACAGUGGUAGAUGUUGGUGGUGGUACUGGGUUUACUACUUUGGGUAUUGUUAAGCAUGUGGAUGCCAAGAAUAUCACAAUUCUUGACCAGUCACCUCACCAGCUUGCAAAGGCUAAGCAGAAGGAGCCCUUGAAGGAAUGCAAGAUAAUUGAAGGAGAUGCAGAGGAUCUUCCUUUUCCUACGGACUAUGCGCAUAGAUAUGUGUCUGCUGGGAGGUAAUAGGCAGUCACUGUAAUGCUGUUCUUCAACCUCUAUUUUGAAUUUUGUUUCAAUGCUAGAUUUCUUUGGGGAUAAAUUCUCUACAAUGUCAUUGGGAAUUUAUAGUAAAUUUCCCCCUUAAUCCAAUUGUUAAUACUUAAUAGGCUUUAGCUGAAUGAGAUUAUUCAUACUAAAUUUGGGAUACAUGACUAAAAGAAGUUGAAUAUGCUAGUGCCAUAAAAAUCAUAAAUUUUUAAGGGUUCUCAAUACCAAACGUGAUAUUAUCUUCCAUAUCUUAGUUUCUAAAUAAUGGGAUUCUAAUUCCUCAAAAAGCUGUCAAUUCUAUUGCUAAUUGCUCAAUAUGGCAUUUCUCUAUAUUAUCAAAUACUGUGAUUAUGUUCCUCAGCAUUGAGUACUGGCCGGAUCCACUGCGCGGCAUCAAGGAAGCAUACAGGGUACUGAAAAUAGGAGGAAAAGCCUGUAUUAUAGGUCCUGUGUACCCAACCUUUUGGCUGUCUCGCUUUUUUGCUGAUAUGUGGAUGCUCUUCCCUAAGGAAGAAGAGUACAUUGAAUGGGUUGAAAAGGCUGGGUUUAAGGAUG
rnacentral:misc_RNA from 1 species